UACGUAGGGGGCAAGCGUUGUCCGGAUUCAUUGGGCGUAAAGAGCUCGUAGGCGGCUGUUCAAGUCGAACGUGAAAACUCGGAGCUCAACUCCGAGCCUGCGUUCGAGACUGGAUGGCUAGAGUCUGGUAGGGGGAUCUGGAAUUCCUGGUGUAGCGGUGGAAUGCGCAGAUAUCAGGAGGAACACCGGUGGCGAAGGCGGGUCUCUGGACAGUUCCUGACGCUGAGGCACGAAGGCCAGGGGAGCAAACGGG
rnacentral:rRNA from 1 species